rnacentral:tRNA from 1 species
GCCUUCUUAGCUCAGUGGUAGAGCGCGUCACUAGUAAUGACGAGGUCACCUGUUCGAAACAGGUAGGAGGCA